rnacentral:lncRNA from 1 species
GUCAGCUAAAGUCUGGACUAUAGCCGACGACUUAUACGUGUGUCGUCGGCUAAAGUCACCACAGACGAGCUUUUCCCGACGAAAUCUUAGCCGACGAAAGGUCGUCGGCUAAGAUCUUAGCCGACGAAUUAAGCUGACAGGCCGACGAAAAAUUUUCGUCGGCUAAAGUGCUUGUCCUGGUAGUGCGUACUGCCAUCUAUAAAUUAAUCCUCCUUAUAAUAAGAUAAUCAGAAAAAUCAAUACUUAAAUUAAAUUCGUAAACUGGAAAAAAAAUUUAACAUUCAUAUUCGGUAGCUCAUGAAAUAUUGUGAUUCAAGAGGUAAGAAGUUCCCCACUAAUAAAUUGACUUUUUAUGAAGGUUUAAAAUUUUCAUUUAUGAUAUUGAUUUAAAAAUGUUGAUUUAGGUAACUUGAUCACCAUACUCUAAAUUGUUUCCUUAUUUGUUCAAAUUAUAAUAAGUUUACGUCAGGCAUGAGAUUUUUUUGGUCAAGAGAUGAACUUCAUUGAAUAUGUAUGAGAUAUAGUGAUUGAAAUGUAUGUUAAGUGUGAAGUGAUACUUCAUUUAAAGAAUGUCUAAAAUAGAAGUCAUCAUCUAUAUUAACAUAAACUAACAUACUGUUCUACAAGAAUAAACAUGUACUAGGUAUCCAAUGAUGAUUUCAAUAACAUUGAUAAAAAAGCUAGCCAUCUUUGAUAUAACGAUUUGAAGUUAGGAACAUAUCUUAUAGUAACAAUCAAAUACUAAGUAGUCAAUAAUGAACUAAUAAUGUUCCCUUAGAACUUUUCCCUAAUAGAAUAUUCACAUUGAAAUAAAAGUUAUUGUUCACAUUGAAAUUUAAAGUUAUAAACAUGUCACAUAGUAACAAAUAAGUUACAAGUACCGAAAAUAACCUAGUAAUGUUCACUUAGAACUUUUCCCAAAUAGCAUGUUCAUAUUGAACUUUACAUUGAAAUAGAAGGCAUUAUCUAUAUUAAAAUUUGAAGUCGACGUUCACAUUGAAAUUUAAAGUCUUAAACAUGUCUUACAGUAACAAAUAAGUUAUAAGUAGCGGAUAAUAAGCUAGUAAUUUUCAAUUGGAACAUUUUCUUAAUGACAUAUUCACAUUGAAAUAGAAAUCAUUAUACACAUUGAAAUUCAC